rnacentral:rRNA from 1 species
GUCCUACGGGGCGCAGCAGUGAGGAAUAUUGGUCAAUGGGCUUACGCCUGAACCAGCCAAGUCGCGUGAGGGAAGACUGCCCUAUGGGUUGUAAACCUCUUUUGUCAGGGAGCAAAAAGCGGUACGUGUACCGCAUCGAGAGUACCCGGAGAAAAAGCAUCGGCUAACUCCGUGCCAGCAGCCGCGGUAAUACGGAGGAUGCGAGCGUUAUCCGGAUUUAUUGGGUUUAAAGGGUGCGCAGGCAGUCUGUUAAGUCAGCGGUCAAAGCCCGGGGCUCAACCCCGGCCCGCCGUUGAAACUGGCAG